rnacentral:rRNA from 1 species
UACGUAGGGUCCGAGCGUUGUCCGGAAUUAUUGGGCGUAAAGGGCUCGUAGGCGGUUCGUCACGUCGGGAGUGAAAACUCGGAGCUUAACUCCGAGCCUGCUUCCGAUACGGGCAGACUAGAGGUAGGCAGGGGAGAGCGGAACUCCUGGUGUAGCGGUGGAAUGCGCAGAUAUCAGGAGGAACACCGGUGGCGAAGGCGGGUCUCUGGGCCGAUACUGACACUGGAGGAGCGAAAGCGUGGGGAGCGAACAGG